CGGUUCGACAUGGAGGAACGAAAGCUAGGGGGAGGCGACCGGAUUAGUCCCGUAGUCAAGCGUACUAUGCGCGUUAAGGUGCUGUACUACGAGUACGGGGUGCGAGUGAAAACGUGAAACGUGCGCUGGGAAGUACGUCGCAAGGCUGAAACUUAAAGGAAUGGCGGGGGAGCACCACAACGGGUGGAGCUGCGGUUUAAUUGGACUCAACGCCGGGGCAGCUCACCCGGAUAGGACAGCGGAAUGAUAGCCGGGCUGAAGACCUUGCUUGACCAGCUGAGAGGAGGUGCAUGGCCGUCGUCAGUUCGUACUGUGAAGCAUCCUGUUUAGUCAGGCAACGAGCGAGACCCACGCCAACAGUUGCGAGCAUGUUCUCCGGAAUGAUGAAAAGAAAAGUUGGGACCGCCUCUGCUAAAGAGGAGGAAGGAAUGGGCAAAAAGAAGGUCAGCAUGCCCCGAAUUAUCCGGGCUACACGCGGGCUACAAUGGUCAGGACAAUGGGAGAAGGCACUGAAAAGUGUAGUCAAUCUCCUAAACCUGUCCCAAGUUCGGAUUGUGGGCUGCAACUCGCCCACAUGAAGCUGGAAUCCGUAGUAAUCGCGUUUCAACAUAGCGCGGUGAAUAAGUCCCUGCUCCUUGCACACACCGUA
rnacentral:rRNA from 1 species